rnacentral:rRNA from 1 species
UACGUAGGGGGCGAGCGUUGUCCGGAUUUACUGGGCGUAAAGGGCGUCUAGGCGGAGGGGUAAGCAGGGUGUGAAAGCGCCUGGCUCAACUGGGCGAGUGCGCCCUGGACUGCGUCUCUAGAGGGCGGGCGAAGGGGGUGGAAUUCCCGGUGGAGUGGUGAAAUGCGUAGAGAUCGGGAGGAACACCAGUGGCGCAAGCGGCCCCCUAGCCUGUUUCUGACGCUGAAGCGCGAGAGCGUGGGGAGCGAACGGG